rnacentral:rRNA from 1 species
UACGGAGGGGGUUAGCGUUGUUCGGAAUGACUGGGCGUAAAGCGCGCGUAGGCGGACCAUCAAGUCGGGGGUGAAAUCCCGGGGCUCAACCCCGGAAUGGCCUUCGAGACUGGUGGUCUUGAGUUCGAGAGAGGUGAGUGGAAUUCCGAGUGUAGAGGUGAAAUUCGUAGAUAUCGGGAGGAAUACCAGUGGCGAAGGCGCUGUCCUGGACGAAGAUUGACGCUGAGGUGCGAAAGCGCGGGGAGCAAACAGG